rnacentral:lncRNA from 1 species
UUCUCCAACUUGCUGCUGCUGCUUCUCUCUCUCUCUCCGAUCUCAAAUUUAUGUAAUCUUGAGAAGUUUAUUGUUCAGUACUUUGGAAUAUUCAGAAUUGAGAUGUUUAGUGCAUGUAAUAUUCAGAUUUGAUAAGAGCUUGCAACCUGACAAUUGUUCAGUGUCGUACUUGUGAAAUAUAGUGCAUUUUAUUAUGCGCUCUGACUAGUUAAUGUCUAGUUGUUUGGAUAAUAUUUGGUAUGUUUGAUUUGAUCUGUGAAUUACUAGUCUGCUAGCAUAUAUGUGUGUUCACCUUGUGUACUAGUCCCCUAUACUAGUUAAAUUCCCAUACUAGUUAACUUUUUGUGUGUUUAAUUUUCAGUCUCUGUGAUAGCUUCGUCUCAGUGUCAAAUAUGUUUGUAAUGUGACCCAUUUCCAUUCUGCUUUAGGUGUUCAUGUCCUGUUGUUACAGUUGUGUUACUGUUUUAGUUUCUCAUGCAAAUAAAAAAAUAAUACCAAAAAGACAGAGAGUAUAAUCUGAAUCUCCCUUUGCUUCUUUUCAUAUACUUUGUUGCCAAUUUUCCGAAACGAUCUUAGAUACUUCAGGUUUGUUUUCCCAGUAAUCGUCACUUAAAUUGUCUAUCCUAGCUUUAGCCGAGCAUCAUCGCUGAUCGUCUAAUCCCUGUGGAGAACACUACAUUCAUAGUUUGGGCGUAAAAACCCCACUAUACUUUCAAUUGACCAUUUUGGCUUUGUUGCCAGGGAUUAGCGUCGGGCGAUUGUGUGAGGGUAUAGACUAGGUUUUUCUUGUUUUCUUUUUGUGACAUCUAUAUGUGAUAUAUCUCUAACCACUAAUCCUUGUUCUAGAUCAUUUUCUUUCUGUUUUCUUUUCUUUGGGCAGGUUAGAACUAUCUUCUCGGUUAUGGGGUACUACUCAGAUCAUCGUGCUUAUGCGAGCAACACUACAAACAGCACGGAAAGUAUUCAAGAACUGAUAAGUAAGAUUUCCCAUCGAUUAGAUGAUUUAGCUCGGCAGCGAGAAGUAGUUUUUGAGGAUAGGCCUAGCUCUUAUGAUCCUUGUUCUAGAGGCCAUCCUUAUGUUGCUCCUACUUGCCAUAUUUGUGGAUUUCAGGGCCAUCCGCCCGCUGAAUGUCAGCGUGGUUACUCUCACACUCCAGAUUGUUUUGGCAUGAGCUGCGCUCAACAGCAUAGCUCAUACCAAAACUAUUACUCACAUGGGUGGCCUGAAAACCCGAAUAUGUCAUAUAGGAGCAACAACCCUGAGAUCUCAUCGUUUGCCUCUAGUUAUCCAUUGCAGGGAUUCAGGUACAAUGAGGAGAACCACAACUAUGCUCCACAACAGAUUUAUUCACCUCCUACUCAUAUACCUCAAUACCAGGAGAGGUGUCCAAUGGAGUUAAAUGGUCCUCCAUUUGGUCAACUAACAACUCCAGCACGUUUCGAGCAAUCUCAUGUGCAAGUGCCCACACAAGAUGAAUUUGAUGAUAUAGAGAAGCUCACAUUGCUUAGUCUCGAGCUCACUUGGAGUGCUGAAGAUGAUCCAAUUAGGCCGGUGAUACUAGAUGAAAUGAAGAAGAUCAAGAGUGGGAAUGAGCUAGUGGAAUAAGUAAGGAAGAUUGAGAAGAACAUCAAUGCUGGCAGUACUAUAUCAUCACAGCUUGAGUUGAGUGUGGCUGAGAUAUCCAUUGAUACAUGUGAGGUUCCAACAUCCUCACAUUUAGCUGAGCAAGAUAGCGAGAGCCCAGGGAAGAGAUACCUCAGAUUGAAGAUGUACUCGUAGCCAAGGCACAAGAUGAUCCAGAGCUCAAAUGCCCAAGUGAUCAAGUUGAAGAUCCAAUGUCUAUCCCUCCUGAAGAAGUAAAAGAAGCUGUUGUAGAUGAAGAUGAAGAACCUGAGAUUCAUUUGCCUAUUGUCAUACCAGAGCGUGAUGUGUCAGGUUUAUCUAAUCCUCUUAAUGACAUGUCUUCAUAUUAUUUGUUUGCUACUACCUUGCAUUGCAUGAUGCCAUCACUUAAGGUAGAUUUGAAAAACUAUUUGCUUGGACAUGAUCAUACACACCCUAUUAGUGGCAUUGCUCAUAUCUCUGUUCAUGAUACUUAUGUUCCUAAUGCUAUACCCAUGCUUCAUGAAACGUGUGAUUCUAAUACUAGCAUUGAGCUUACUGAUUUGUACCAUCCUAAACAUGUGCUUUAUAGCUAUGCUUAUGUAAUUGGAUAUUCGAUUGAUGACUUCGAGGGUAUUAUCCCUACCACUUGCAUUGUCUCUUUCGUUGAGUGCUUUUUUAGGUUCUUGCUUGUGCACGAAUCACUACAUGCUGACCAAGUUCGAGAUGACAUUCCCUGGGACCCCAGUGGACCCAUGGCAUGGGGAUGAGGAGAAGCAAGGAGCACACAUGAAGAGAGAAGCUGGAGCAGGCAUGAGGAUAGGGAAGCAAAAGGAGAGGAGUCACAAUGCACGAGGAAGCAAAGGAGAAGAGUUGCAGUUUAGAGAGUGUCGAGCGAGUGCUACUUCCUAUAAAAACCCGGUGAGCUAUUUCAUGACCCAUUCCGAGUAUAUCAUCCAUUGAUACAUGCUGAAAUCAAAUGUUAUUCGGGUUGCUUAAGCCAUGCCUUAAAUGUUACCCCACUGAAUUUUAUUUGACAUAUGGUGCUUUAUGUGAAUAUGUGAAGUGAGUGUUGAAUGCCUUGUAACCUAGUGAUCUACACAAUGCUUGCUUUGCUGAAAUUAGUGAAAGCUAUUAGUUUUGAGUGCUCAAAUCCCUAGUACACUAGAAAACUUAAUCAUUUUCUCCUUUUACCUCGAUAUGCCUAGAUCAUUAAGUGUCAGAUGCUAAGUUUGUGCCUAAUGUGUUCCCAUUGAGAGCAAUCACCUAACCACUAUGGAUUAGCAUGCUAUGUUCCCUGGAUCGGUAGCAUGUGAACCAGACAUGGAGAAGUGAUGAUUCCUAUUUUUGUGCUUAUGCAUUGUUCAUUUAAGAUAAGUAAUAAUGAAUAAAUAAGUCUGACUACCUACAGUAGCAUGUCAUGUUCCCGGGAUUGGUGGCAUGUGAAAUCGGGUUAGCUUGGGCAGUAAUUAAUAAUAAAAAAUGUAAGUGUCGAACCAGGUGUAUACCAUGUUCUCGGGAUCGGUGGUAUGUUCCCUUGGGGAGACAAACAAAAAAACUAAUAAUUGGUCGAUCCAGGUGUAUACCAUGUUCUCGGGAUCGGUGGUAUGUUCCUUUGGGGAGACAAACAAAAAAACUAAUAAUUGGUCGAUCCAGGUGUAUACCAUGUUCUCGGGAUCGGUGGUAUGUUCCUUUGGUGAGAUCGAUAAAAUAUUAUCAUUGCUUUACUUCUGUAAAUAAGUGAACUGAUCACAAGUUUAUGUUCUUUUUUGUGCUCUGGAUCAUGAUCUCUUUAGGAACCUUUGGCACAAUCAUCAUUUGAACUUGUUGAUCCACUUUUAUCAUUGUAAAAGUUUAAAAUGAUUGAGUCUACUAGUAUCCUAUUGAUUUGUAGCACUCUUGACCAUUGAUUUGCACUAGCUAAGUCCAAAGCAUGCAUUGUUUAGAGAUCUACUUCACUUGGCAUUCUCUAGUCGGCUCACUAUUCACUAUCUUGCUCUUGUCAUAUGCCUUUACUUGAGGACAAGUAAAGAUCUAAGUGUGGGGGAACUUGAUAAGUGCAUUUCAUAUAUAUAAUUUGGCACUCAAAUUUAGCAUCUAUCGUGAUAUAUCCAUCCAUUCUUGCAAUGAAUUGUGAUAUAUUUGAAUGAAAAUCAUAUAAAAGAUCAUUUACUCGUUACUUGUUUCUUUUGCAGAAAAGUGCGAUGAGGCACUAUAAUCGUCAAGAGUCCAUCCAUGUGGCUAUUGAGAAGAGAGAAGGGCGGGAAAGAAGUGAAGAAAGGGACAUGAGCAUCAAGGAAAGAAGAAACCGGGGGCCAAAACUUAAGAUGGAGGGGAUCUACUUGGGAAGAAAGAAGGAAAGGAGAAGGGCCAAAUCAGAAAAGUGGCAGACUAGAGGAGGGGUCAAAAUCCCUAGCAGCAGCCCCGAUCCCCUUUGGGCCUAGCAUCUCCAUCUCUCUCCCCCGACUCCUUCUCCACCUCUGGCCGCCGCCGCGGCCAGGCCGGCAUGGCGGCGCGCGACCGCGCCAACAGCGCCACCCACCACUUCCACUCCUCCCUCUCUCUCUUGCUGCUCCUCCCUCCUGCUUCGCCCCUGCUGCUUCUCUUCCCCACGCCUCUACUGCUGCAUCUCCAUUGCCACGUCCCUGGCCCUUCUUCUCUUCCUACUGCUGCUUCUCCCUUCUCCAACCUCCUGCUGCUGCCUCCUUGUCUUGCUCCGCUGCUCCUCCUAAUCUUCUCUGAACCAGAAAACUGCUGCUGCUCUUCUCCAACUUGUUGCUGCUGCUGCUUCUCCCUCUCUCCGAUCUCAAAUUUCUGUAAUCUUGAGAAGUUUAUUGUUCAGUACUUUGGAAUAUUCAGAAUUGAGAUGUUUAGUGCAUGUAAUAUUUAGAUUUGAUAAGAGCUUGCAACCUGACAAUUGUUCAGUGUCGUACUUGUGAAAUAUAGUGCAUUUUAUUAUGCGCUCUGACUAGUUAAUGUCUAGUUGUUUGGAUAAUAUUUGGUAUGUUUGAUUUGAUCUGUGAAUUACUGGUCUGCUAGCAUAUAUGUGUGUUCAC